UACGUAGGGGGCAAGCGUUGUCCGGAAUCAUUGGGCGUAAAGAGCGUGUAGGCGGCUCGGUAAGUCCGCUGUGAAAGUCCAGGGCUCAACCCUGGAAAGCCGGUGGAAACUGUCGAGCUCGAGUCCGGAAGAGGCGAGUGGAAUUCCUGGUGUAGCGGUGAAAUGCGCAGAUAUCAGGAGGAACACCAAUGGCGAAGGCGGCUCUCUGGGCCUGACCUGACGCUGAGGAGCGAAAGCGUGGGGAGCGAACAGG
rnacentral:rRNA from 1 species